GUGUUAAAGUAGAAAACGGGAAAGAGGACAGAGAGAAUAAGAGGUACAGGAAGGAAAGGAGUGUCUACAAGUGGGGUUUUCCUGUUUACUCUGCUGCCUCCAUUUACUUUUCACCAGCGGCAGGCUAGACUUAACAAGCAUCCUCGGUCUCAGCAAGAGAACUGCCUGCUGGGAGCACCGGACCCUCGACUGAUUGAGCUGUACUUUGAUAGAAGCCAUGGAACAAGCUGAGAAUAAAACCACCUCGCCACAAAAGCAGACGGUCAAAAACAGGUCCAAAUCAACGGAUGAGGUCCAGCAAGCGAAAAAGGCUUUUCACACGCCGCAGAAGUCUCUUCCAGCUCAACCGGAGACGGAGAAGCUGGAGGCGGACACAGCAGAGCUUAGCGCUUCAUCCGAGGAGCUAAAAUAAUGGCACCGCUCAGACUGGGGUUAUAGGAAGAUGUAUAGGAAACAACAAAACACAUCUUGUUUACACACCUGGAUCUCCUACCAUGUCUUCUGUCGUGAGAUACGUGUUCCACAUGCAUUAGUCAAAAAAAGUCAAUUAGAUCACAACUCUGUUGUUAAACAGUUUCCUGCACCCAGCACAAAUCCUAGCCCUGGUCUAAAAUUAUUGUAGCCAUGAUUUUUUUAUUUAUUUAUUAGGAUGAGGAGAACAGUCAUCGCUGGAUCCUGUCAAAUGUUUGUCUGUAAUGUGAAGUGCAUAAAAUCUGUGCUUGGAAUGAUGGAUAAAGA